AGUGAGUGUUGACAUCUGUCCUAACUCACUUCCCUAAACCACACUCAGCCUUCUCCAGCAAGAUCCAGCGUGAGGACAUCAAGCUGUUUCCUAACAGUGAGUGCCUUGUACACACUAGGCAACUAGCGAACAUUCACUGAUGGAUUAUAAAACAGAGAAGGGGUGGAGAACAUCCAACAUGGGGAUUCUGUGUGCUCUUGUAAGAUGUUUCUGCAGUUCCACCCUCGCCCUUCGCUCGUCCACUCAGACAGGAGGUGCUGGAUCACAACGGUCAGCGCUUCAAACUUGGUGUUACCACGGGAAAGAAGCUGUCUGAGGUGCAGGAUGAAUCCACUUUGGCUUUCACAUUUUGUCUUGUAUUGGGCCAACUCAAGCGUUCUCUCGGAGGACAGCACAUCUGGAGCUGUCUGGGUCUGGAUGCAUAGGCUCCUGGGAUUCUUCUGCCUGCCCUUUUCAACUGCAAGAGGAAGGAAAGAAAAGCACAAAGAAGAUGCGCGUGAGGUUAACUAAUUUUUAUAACCACCACCACCACAUGGGGCUCACAACCAGCCUACUGCCGCCACACCAGAGCAUCUGAACCAUGUUUUACGUUGGGACGUACACAUGGUGGCAGGCUGGAGUAGAUCGGGGAUCAGGAUGGGUGGAACUCGUCAACAGGGCCAAUGGCUUUAGUUCUCACUGUGAAGAUUUAAUGGGGAGUUAUGCACAUGAGCCAAACAGAUUUAGCAACUCAGAAACAUAAAACACUGGAGGCAGGGAAGAGGCAAAAUAGUGACUUCGUGGCCUUUAUUUUUAAUUCACCAUUGUUGUCUGUGUUCAUGAUGUUAUGUGCAUGAGAGUACAGGUUCUCAAAGACUACUGCGGUCCUGUGGCGGUCAGAGGACCACCUCCUAGAGCUGGUUUCCUUUUACUAUGAGUUCCAGGAUCAAGCGCAGGUCACUAGGCUUGCAUGGCAAGCACUUUCACCUGCUGAGCCAUCCCUCCAACUCCACUUCAUAGUUUUUACUCUUCCAGUUAAGUUGACAAAUCUGAAAGUCCUUUCCUGUGUCUGUUGGGGUAGUCCCGCGAUUUCUGUCCUUGAGUCCGUUUGUGUGUGCAUACGCGCAUGUGUAUGUAAGGGGGCAGGGGGAGAGAGAACGAAUGUGAGUCUGCUAUCACAGUGACGCAGUAAAUUAUACCAGGUGACGAAAAGGAACAAGAGUGGCACUGCACUCAUGACACAGGCUGAACAAAGUACAAUUAUACAGUAGGCAGAACUAAGACACACUAUUCAAACGGUUUCCCAUUUUGGAGAAAUGCUGAAGCUAGCCGGUAGUGCACUUAAAUCUAGGAUGCGGUUUAAAUCCCCUUGUGUCUUCAAACAGACGAUGAAAGGGUAUGAUUAAAAAGCAGAGAUUUAAAAAAAAAAAGAAAAGAAAAGAAAAAAGAAAUCAUGGGAUAAGCACUGAGGAAAAUUCUGAUUAUUGGACUUGAAAUGCUUUUCUUUCCUCUCGAAGGCUCCUUUUUAAAAAAUUUGUUAGACUGGGCAUGGUGACACACACUUUUAAUUUAAUUGCUUGGGGGCUGGGGGUGGGGAGGCAGGUGGAUCUCUGAGUUCCAAGACAGCCUGGUCUACAGAGGUUUUGUAGGCCAACUGAGGAGGCGCACUGAGACCCUGCCACCAAAUAAAUGAGUACAUGUGUUAUUUUUGUUUGUUUGUCAGCAUGCUAAGUAAUAGGCUUCAUUAUAGUAUUUCAUAGAUGAUUUGUUUAAGUUUUAGUAAGUUCUUCACAGUUGCUUGCUGGUCUGCCUCCUCCACCCUAAAGCCCUCCCAUUUUCCCAGGAAACCCUUCCUCCUUUACCUCACUGCCCCCUGUACCCUUUCCACAAACACCUCCCACAGAGCUGUCUUCCCCGCUGUCUUUCUGGUCAUUGUCACAGUCUACUCUGCAGAUGUCACCGAAAUCUAAUGACCCAGCAUAUACACUGGAGAUCCUGCACUUUGCUCCUCCGAGGUUACUGGGAAAAGCAGCGUGUGCCUGUGCGCCUGGAUACACUGCCUCAUUUUUCAACAAGCGCAAACUUCGUUCCCCGUGUAGU